CAGUGUGAUUGGUUGAUUUAGUCAUCUGUAAACAAAAGAAUGGACCAUUUGAGUUUGUGGUGUGCUUUCCAGCUCGAUUUAAUUUCCAAGAGAUAGAUAAAUAUCUUGCU